CGCAGUAUGCACAGACGCUGUCUGAGCUGGAAGGCGUGUGAUAUUUCUGUAUUAGUUUUCCGUAAAAAAAACCCGGGAACUGAAUGAAAACGUAGAUAAAUGAAAUUCUGGUUCGCGAGGUUGAUGACUAAACUUAUCCAAGUAGAUUUCCUUCAAAACAACUGAACUGAUGAUGGAGACAGAUCAAAUGGAAGAGGAUACCAGCAACACCAAUAUCGGUGAACAAGAACCGGGAGCAGAGACAGAUGAAACGAUGCAAAUGGAAGAGGGCCAAGUGCACACGACAACCGUGUUAGAUGAACAGAGUCUACAGCAACUGAUGGAUAGUGGAACUGUCAGUGAAGACAGCAUAAUCGCUAUAGUUCAAAACGAACAUGGAGAACCUCAAACGGUGGUGCUGAGUCGGCAGGAUGCAGAAGCAUUAGGCAUACAGUUGGAUCCUGUUGAGCAGCCUGUAGAAGAUGAGCAAGGUCAUGUUACUUCCACAGAAGAGUUGGAGGGAAUGACGGAACAAGUGGAUCAAGAGUCUGACAUGCAGCAAACAGAAGACAUGACUGAGUAUAACGCUGAAAAUGUUGAACAGUCUGAAUUCCAACAAGAAUUGCAGGCUGGAAUUCAAUCAGAUCUUCAAUCCCAACUGCACGCUGAAUUUCAAUCUGAACUACAAAAUGAUCUGCAAGAUGAACUCCAAGAUGAACUGCAGCAAAAUGAACUGCAGCAAGAUGAACUCCAAGAUGAACUGCAGCAAGAUGAACUCCAAGCUGAACUGCAGCAAGAUCUCCAAGAAACCACAAACCAGGGAGAAGAGAUCCAACCAGAAAUUCCCCCAGAGCUUCAACCUAAAAGUCAAGAACCUUUCCCAGUAACGGAUGCCGAAUUGGAACCACACGUUGAUACGCCGGUUCCAGAAGCCAUAUCAGUACCUGAUGAGAGCGUUCUCCCGAUGGAAACGCAAAUCCCAGAAGUAAAAACGAAAGAGCAAGUUCCGAAAGAAGAUGAAGAAAUGCACACGACGACGGUGUCCUUGGAUGCGGUUUCGCAACAGCUCGCUGAAGACGCUGGCGAUGGUGACAGCUCAGCUAAUGAUGUUCUAUCUAACAUCAUCCAGUCUUUAUUCAAUCCCAAUGAGCCAAAUCAAUCAAACGUUUCGAUUGUUCCUAGGAUGGUGGGUGGCAAGCGCAAAUUGUGUCUCAGGCUGCCCGCCAGCACGGCCAGCGCUCUUUUGGCACAAACGGGAAGCCCACUAGCUCAUUCCUUCACGGAAGGCGGUAUCCCGAAGAAGAUCAAGAUCGUUAUCCCACCCAAUUCUCUAUCGAAUAGUGCCGGCAGUUUCGUCACUAGCCUUGCCAAUUCCGCAUCCGUUAUCCAUCAAGAAACGAAAGUCGUGAAAAUUUCUACAUCGCAACAAAUAGCCAACAACAAUUCGGGCGGGAAAACUACAGGUCCUGCACGACUCGAUCCCGACACUUUACCGAAUAGCAGUUCUUUCUCUUUAAUGUCCUCUCCCGUUAAAAGCUCGUCGAAACCUUUUCUGGCCUCCCUCUUCAGUACCACGUCGACCACGACUCCGAGUGCCUCGUUAACAGUGACGCCCGUUUCCAACCCACCAAAGAAACCUUUAGGCAGCACCGAAAACCCCAUCCAGCUGGUCCAAGAAGGCAACAGCUUCCGUAGUCUUCAGCCGCUCACCCCGGAUCAGUUAAAACACAUCGCUUCGGUGUUAAAACAAAACCGACAAGCGAUCCUGUCUGGCGACGGCAAAGGCGGGAGCGGUACCAUCGCCAGCAGCUCAGAAGGCGAUGGGGGCAAACGGCGCGUUGUCUACGAUGCCAAGUCCAACACGAGGAUCGUCUAUCGAGUCGUCACUCCUGGCGAAUUGAAGAAAACACCUUCAACAGUGGGAGUGACGACUACAGUCACCAAUACCACCCAUGGUACGAUAACCACUCCUAUCGCCGUGAAAAGUUCCGUCACCUUAACACCGGCAGCGACUACAACUCCGGCAGUUGUCAGAGGACGUGGAAGAGGUCGAGGUCGACCCCCCGGACGCACAAUACCCUUCGUUCCAAAGCGCAAGCCCGCAAGCACAGAAGAAUCGGACUCGGAAGAUGUGCAGGAAGAUGAUGCAGUCAGCACCAGCAUAGACAUGUCUAAGGAGGAGCGAGAAGGCAAGAAGAAGCUGCUACCGCGAACACGAUCUGGUCGAGUGUCUAAACCUCCCCGUCACAUGGUCAAGGAUUACAAACGACUGCACCAUUUAGAUUUUGCCCAGCCGGAUUUGGAUGACUCUGAUGGUGGCUAUUCAGAUUACCGUAUCGAUCAUUUGUCGCCCAACGUGGUGGUUGGGAACGAGGAAAGCAACGAGGAUUCUUCGGAAGAUUCCAAAGAACCUAUCAAAGCCGUCAUACCAACUUCCCCGUUCAAUUGCGCCACUUGCAAACGCGAAUAUACAACUCCCCACAGGUUAUCGAGACAUUUUGAGCAGUUUCCCGACCACAGUAAUAAUGUGACAACCCGUCGUAGUUCAACUGUUUCGGCAUCGGCCAUCGAAAAGAAAAACGGGCAGCAUGAUAGAGAAGAACCAGAUGCCGAAGAAGAGUCAGACUCUACUGAAACGGAGAAAGUUGUCAAACGGACUGUCAGGACGUCAACUGCUGCCAGCACUAUUAGGGGAAGAGGUGGAUGGAGAGGCGGACGCGGUCGUGGUCGAGGAAGGGGACGAGGCCGAGGGGUUGGCCGACCUCCUUUGAUUCGCUCGCCGGCUGUACUUUCAGAAAAGAGGAAAAUCCGCCUUGCGGAGGCCUUGGAAGUAUGCACGGAUGAAGAAGUGGUGGAUGUUGCCGGCCCUAGACUUUCAGCCGCUAUGUCAAGUUGGGAAUAUUUGUUGUUAAGGGUGCAACAGGAAGACGAAGGCAAUAGUAGCGCUCCGCUUAUCCCGCGGAUUCUCAACGAAGUGACUUCCUUAUUUGACCGGGUUUCUAGCAUGACUGCCCGCCACUUGCAUCCUCAUAGUAACGGCGGCGACGGUGGUGGGAAUGGAGAAGAACACGAGCCUUACCAGCUGACGAAUCCUGAGACGGCCCGGUUGCUUGGCCUCCAGUGUGGCACUUAUUUUAUCAGCAAAGACGAACGCAAGUUAUUGGAGGAAGACGCGGUCAAUUCGGCUCAUUUGUCUCAGACAGCUUCGUCAUUGGUCGACGGAACUUCCGUCCCUCCUGCAACCGCAUUAAUUGCUGUAAUAGAAGAUCAGCCGCAGAUUCCGGUUGCGGCCGUUGUCGUCCCCCCUCAAUCGGAGGACUUGACUCAACAACAAGAAGAGCAGCAGCAAGAAGACGAGGCUCAACUGAAAGCGAUCCAGGCGGAUUCAGCAGCAGCGGCCGCUUCAAAGUUGUGGGAGGAGCUGGAAGAAGCCGAUCACUUGCCACCGACGGCAGGCAGUGAGUCCGGAAUUGGCGGAGGACCCGAUGGAGACCAAGCAGACGACGAUGCCGUCGACAGUGAACUGAUGCAAGUGGAUGAAAUCGUCAAUCAAGUGGUUGAAGGCCAAACGGGUGGCUCUCAGGCUCCUUCUCCUCUUUGAAAUGUCGACCCCAAUGACAACACCCACUACCCCAUUUUGAUCCCUUAUCCAGAAAAAGUGCGAGAGUCAUUAAACGCCGACAAUGUUAAAAAUACAGAAGGAGAAAAUGAGAAAAAAGUGCUCUCGCCAUAUUUUGUCCUCUCCCUAUUUUUUUGGUGUCUUUAAUUCAGCCAAAACGCGGAGCAACCUGGCAAGUUACGUUUUGUUCAAGUUAUAAUUAGGUUUUUUUUUCCCUAUUCUUCUCUUUUCUUUUCAAAUCUUUUUUUCUGCCUGUCAGAUUUUUUUUCUUCAUUAUUUUUCUCAGUACAGUUCCAUCUAAUUCCUGUUUCCACCUCCGUCUUGUUUGUUUUCCCUUUCUCCCCUAUAUUGAAAACACACACACACAUCUUACGUGGCAUUUGACAGUGAGCUGAAUACCCCUCCCCCCCAUCCCCAAUCCAAUAUGAAUACAAACAAAGUCGCAACGGAGUUCAAUUAUCUGACAUCUUUUUAUUUCCAAAUCUUAUUUGGAUGCUGAUGUUAUUAUUUCGGUUGGUGCAGACGAACCGAAUGAUAGCAAAGUUCUGAUUGUGAUAUCACGGCUACAAGUAAAUUUGGUUGGCCAUGUUUGCACAUUAUCCCCAUUAUGGCGUUUCCUGCCACCACCACUGAAGCCUCUCUGCAAUAAUUAUCAAAAAAUGCCUUUCCACAAGGUUGUUAUCUACCAUCGAAUCCGGAAACAUUGGCUAGAAGAGAAGGACUGUGACUGUGAUAAAUGUGCGGCCAAUUCCCCUUUUUCCACAUUUCAAGGUGCUACGUUUGCGGUUUGUAUGAACUGGAACUCCGACCAAUGGUCUUCUGUUGUAAAACGGAAACAGAAAACAGUCGCCAAACGAAGACAAUGGCAAUUUAGUGUGCGGCUAAAAUCAACAAAUGAACCGUAAUAACAGCUGGUGCAGACAUCCGCAAAGACAAGCUGGCCCAUCAGGACAUUGUGUGGAUAUGUUCUUGUCAACUAAAACAAGUUUCUCAAAACGAAAAAAAAAAUUGCCAUUCAUACCGUCCGGCUCGUUUCGUUCUCAUGAUCAUCGAAUCGUGAAACAGGCAAUAACACGAUCACCACGUCCGCUCAUCUUUCCACAACAUCUGCAAAAUUCCUUGCGGAUGAUUAAACACUCUCAGGAAAAAAUUUUCAUAUACUAAUAAAAUACCUAGUAAACUUAUCCCCAAUUGAAUUCAUGCAAAUAAUCAUUUUUUUCUUUCUUUUUAUCAGACCGUGUUUCACCUAAAUGUAUUAUUCCAUGAAUAUAUAAUAUAUAUACACACUGGGAGUGUGCUGGCAAUUUACCUUGGUGCGCAAAAAGAGGGGGACAGAUUUUCUUAUUUAAAACAAAAAGAGUUUUUUUUUCUUCAUUCAAUUCUAAUUCUUUGUGUAUCACAAGUUGGAAACAACAUGGACUCGUGGGGUUUUCACUUUUUCAGAAGACGUUCCAUAUCUUUAUUUUGACGCUGGAUUCUCCAGUCAGCCUUGUCGGCACCAGUCUGCAACCGAUCGAUCAACGUGUUCUGAUCUUCCAGUUCAGUCGACAAUCCCUGGGCGAGACCUUUCAGACGGGACAGGGACAAACUCAUGUCACCCAGAUCUUGCUCUAGCUGCUCGUCGACAUUGGAAAGAGGUUUGUGACUAAAAUCAUUUUCAAGUCCUUUAAUCCUCAAUGCUGGGUGCUGUUGCUGUGAUGGUGAGUCUCGGUCAAUCGGUGAUGAUGUUUGCUCAAGUACCUUGGAAAGAUUGCUACUACUACUACUGGAACUAGGCUUUAACAAAGACCCUUCAGAAGAGUUUUUGAGUGGCUCUGAAGGCUUAGAAAAGUAGUUCUUCAUACUGCUAAACACACUCUAAAAAUCAAUGAAAUCUGUGUUAAGGAAAAAACAACCAACCAAUGCUAUAAAAUAUAGAUAGACUACCUUGAUAUUCUGUAUGUGUCUCUCUGAAGUCCUCAAUGAAUUAUUCAUUUCAUCCAGUCGGCUCCCAGUUCUCUCUAACUGUUCCCUCUGCCUUACCAAGUCCUGGUUGGGUAUUUUCAAGGGGAAAAUGAAUCAAGUUUUAAGUGGUUUUCUAAUGUAAGCUUAUGUGCAAACCUCAGCGGUGGAGAUUCCAAUCUGCUCAGUCUCAUACAACAUUCCUUUAGCUCGCCCUGAAGCCUGCAAAGUACGUUCUUCUAUUUUCUGUUUCUCCAUAAGAAGUUGUCGUCUACGUUCAUCGGCGCUCUGAUUUUCUCCUCCGUCCAGAGGUUGGAAACUGUUAUUUCCGCCCGACAAACUAUUGGCUAAUUUUCCUCCAAAGUUAUUGAACCUAUUGGGUGCCCUUUGUAGAAAUUCUUCGUCGUCCACGUCGU